CUUUUUAGCUCCCCCGCUUAUAAGCAACAGUGGGAGUAGUGUUUGGUAAAUCAGCUUCACACUAGCUUCUUCCAGAAGCCAGGGCUUUUAAGCUGGAAGAGCAGAAGCCAGGGCACCCCUGCUUUUAGAAGCAGGCACUGGCUUUUCCACUGUAGCGGGAGUUACUGUAGUUUAAUGAACAUUUCGAAAUACCGGGUUGUGUCCUCUCUUCCCUUCAGCAAUUACACCACACUGCCAUCAUACCCUUCUCUUCCGUGUUGAAAACUGAAACCUCCAGCGCCGCGCAGUGAACACUGCUCUUGCAUCUCGCUGACUGCCUCCUCUCAUUCGUGUUCGAAGCCUCAAUCCAAUCCCCAGAUCUUCGUACCAGGCUCUGAAAAUUGAAACCUCUGCAGCCUCUGUUCCUCAUUCCAUAAAGAUGGAGCUUUUGCAAAGGACUUGAAAAAUACUGGGAAGAUCAUCCUGGCCAUGUAGUCCCACUUAUGAAGCCCAAGUUUUAUGGAGGACCUUGGAAGGUAGAAAGAGGAGAGGUUCCGGCCAGUCUCCCACCCCCAUAGACAAGUUUGAGAAAUUGUUUAAGAGUUUCUACUAGCAUUUGCAAUCUUCUGUUAUUGAAUGUCAAGGGCUUAUUGUGCCAAGAAGAAAGAAAAUGAGAAAAACAAUAUGAUUGGUGUACUAUUUGGUACUUCUGGUAAUUAUCCCAACUUGAUCUAUUUUAAGUCUUUA